rnacentral:lncRNA from 1 species
AACAAGUGGCUUUACUUUCUUCGCUAUAAAACGCAGACUCAGAAUCAGGUUGCUACUAAUCUCAGAUGGCGACGACGGCGUUGAACGUUCCACAGAUGAGGCCCAAGACGAAGAUCGUCUGCACGCUCGGACCUGCAUCGAGGUCUGUGCCCAUGGUCGAGAAGCUUCUCCGAGCAGGCAUGAACGUCGCUCGAUUCAACUUCUCUCAUGGCUCCCAUGAAUACCACCAGGAAACGCUUGACAAUCUCAGGGCCGCCAUGGAAAACACCGGUAUUCUCUGCGCCGUCAUGCUCGAUACUAAGGUAUCAAACUCUUUUUCGUUUUCUGUUUUCUUCCAAACCCCUACGUUUUGUUUGAUUGAUGAUUGGUUACGUUUCUGAUAGGGAUUUAGACUGCGUUUUUGUGUGUUAAUGUAUGAGUUAAUCUGAGAUAGUGUUGCUUAAUGCACCUUUAAUCACACAUAGAUUAGGGUUAACUGUUCAAAAGAUGGUAAGUAUUCACAGCCUGUUUAGUUGCCAAUAGAUUAGUUAUUUUUUUAAUAGGCGAAUGAAUGUUAGUUGUUAGUAAUGUUAAGUAAAUUAGUCGAGACAAUGCUUUUGCUUUUACCCGAGUCAAUAAUGAAAAGGAAGUUGAACUUACUUUUCGCUUAAGGAGUGAGAAACAGGAUCCGAUGAGUAAAUAAAUGGACACUUAUUGAAGGAAAUUGUUGGAUAGACACUUGAUUGGAUGGGUGAUGUGAAGAGGAGUCAUAUUAUGUGGUAAUAUAUGAUGAGAGGUAUAGGAAGAGAGAUGUGACAUAUGAUGUGGUCGAGAAAGAGAGAUGGAGAUAGAGAGAAAAACGAUGACUACUGAUUGAAACAUAAAACAUUCAUUGCAUUAACUGUUAGGAAAGCUGCAUUUUCUAAUAAAUAUAUGUCAUUUUUUUAUUGCUUAACCAAUGAUUUAACUGCUGUCAUUAACAUCUAAUUAUUAGAGUUUGAUUUGAUUGAAAUCAAUUUUAAUAAUGUGUAGUUACAUGUCAAAUCCCUUCUAAUCUGGUUUUAUAUCGAGCUCAAUGGCGUAGUGGGAUGAGGCUUUGUUGUUGUUGUUGUUGUAUAGUUACAUGUCAUGAUUAGGUCGGUUCACUCUCUCACCUGGUACUCAUAUAUUAGUCCCAUCAAGUGAAAGAUGAUAGGAGUUGGUUUUAUACUCAAUCUUACAUGGAUGGUUAAUAUCAGAUUUAAGUAAAACCAAUCUUGAUAAUACAUGUUCGAUUAGUUAAGUUUAUGUUUUCUCUAUUUCACAUGAACAGACUCACACAUUAUCCAUAAUUAUGAAGAAUAGUUUAUAACCUGAUCAUUUGGGCAUAUUGUGUUUCUUAUCAUGCAUUGAAUGCUUAUUCGGAAUGAAUCCAAGGCAUAGCUGUUGUUUGACCUAAUAAAGUGAACUACAUUCUCAAGUUCCUUUCAUAUCCAUCUUUCAUUUUAUGUAUCUAUCUACAUUGAUGUAGGGGCCUGAGAUUCGAACCGGAUUUCUCAAGGAUGGCAAGCCGAUCCAACUUAAACAUGGUCAGGAAAUAACCAUUUCAACUGACUAUAGCAUAAAGGGAGAUGAGAAUACGAUCUGUAUGAGCUACAAAAAGUUGGCUGAGGAUGCGAAGCCUGGGAGUGUCAUACUCUGCUCAGAUGGCACCAUAUCAUUUAAAGUCUUGUCAUGUGACACAAAAUUGGGUUUGGUUCGAUGCCGCUGUGAGAAUUCUGCCAUGCUUGGCGAGAGAAAGAAUGUUAAUCUGCCUGGAGUUGUAGUUGAUCUCCCGACUUUGACUGAAAAAGACAAGGAAGAUAUCAUGGCCUGGGGAGUUCCCAAUAAAAUUGACAUGAUUGCGCUUUCUUUUGUUCGAAAAGGUUCUGAUCUGGUGGAAGUUCGGAAACUGCUGGGACACCAUGCUAAAAACAUUCUUCUCAUGUCAAAGGUAUGAUAUGUUAUUGUCAUCGUCAUCAAUUCAUCAUUAUUACUUAUUAUUAUCAUGGAAAAAAUUAGUGAUUUUGGAGCUGGUUUGAAAAUGUGUCUGAGUCAAGUAUGAUGUCAAGAGGUUCAGGCAUUAUCAUUGUUAAUGUGAGUUAUUGGAUAGCAUCAAACAAAUUUUUGAAGAUCUUUUAAGGGACUAUCUUUCGAGAUUCUACUAAUGAUUGUUAUCACUGAUACAUGUUAAAUUUAAUUACUUAUUUCUGAUCAUUUUUUUCCUCUCUAUUACUUUGAACGUGUGUGGCAGGUUGAAAAUCAGGAAGGGGUUGCAAAUUUUGAUGAAAUCCUUGCAAACUCAGAUGCAUUUAUGGUGGCACGUGGUGAUCUUGGAAUGGAAAUUCCAAUAGAGAAGAUAUUUCUUGCACAGAAAGUGAUGAUUUAUAAGUGCAACAUCAAAGGAAAACCAGUUGUUACUGCAACCCAGAUGUUGGAGUCAAUGAUCAAAUCUCCUCGGCCAACAAGAGCUGAAGCUACUGAUGUUGCAAAUGCAGUCCUGGAUGGCACUGACUGUGUGAUGCUUAGUGGUGAAACAGCUGCUGGAGCUUAUCCAGAACUUGCUGUUCAAACAAUGGCUAAAAUAUGUGUUGAAGCAGAGAGCACCCUUGACUAUGGAGAUGUGUUUAAAAGGAUAAUGGAGCAUUCACCAGUACCUAUGAGCCCAUUGGAGAGUCUAGCUUCUUCUGCUGUUAAAACAGCCAACUCAGCUAGAGCUGCUCUUAUCUUGGUUUUAACUAGAGGAGGAAGUACUGCAAAAUUAGUGGCGAAAUACAGGCCAGGCAUGCCAAUUCUUUCUGUUGUUGUUCCUGAGAUUAAGACUGACAGCUUUGACUGGUCAUGCAGUGAUGAGGCCCCAGCCAGGCAUAGCUUGGUAUUCCGAGGAUUAAUUCCAAUUUUAAGUGCGGGUUCUGCUAGAGCUUCUCAUGCAGAAACAACCGAUGAAGCUAUAGAAUUUGCGAUUCAACAUGCCAAGACAAAGGGUCUGUGCAAUAAUGGAGAUUCUGUUGUGGUUCUGCAUCGUGUGGGUAAUGCAUCAGUCAUCAAAAUCUUGACUGUGAAAUGAUCUCCAGUUAAGAGUACGGUGAAAUUCUACAGCAGUUUUGACAAAAACAAUUUUGUGGGGAAGUGGUCAUCACAUACAUUUUCUGGUUUACAUUGGAUGAUGCAAAACAUCAAUUAAUUUUUUAGGAUGGUUCCUAUCCAUAUCUUACUGUUUUUCUUUUUGAUGUUUGAUUUAUAGUUCUUGGUUUUCAAUUUUGUGGCGACUUCUUUUCAUUUGUUAAGAUUACGUACGAAAGAUUUGGUAUACUGAAAGUGGCCAUCUUCAGGAUUUUGAUUUUCUUACUGGCAGUGUUUCAGAUCUGAAAUUUGUGGGUACGCAUAUAUGCACAAUUCUCAUUUUAUGUUCCCUUUUUCACUUAUAUUUUCACUUUCGUGCAAACUUGAUUAUGGAUGAAAAAUCAUGUCAAUUUAGUGAACUUAUAUGAAUUUUAUGUUGAAAGGAGAGUUAAAGUGAGUGUUGUUAGCACUACUCUUAUAAGGUAUCUAAUUGCUAACAAAUCACAAUAUUUUGAAGGCUUGGAACUAUAUGUGAAUAUGUCCAUUAAGUCUUGGCACUAUAUGUACUACAUCCAUUAAGCACAUUCCUACCUGAAUUGUGGCUUUCUACUGGUUCCUUAGCCUAGUUAGCUGAAGACUUAUGUAGCGUUUGGAAGCUCAAUAGAACGGAACAGAACAUAACAGGACCACACAAUUAAUUACAUAUAUAUCCUUACCAUGUUUAAUGUUUGAUUACAUUAAAAGUAUAUUCAAUAGAAUAACUUUUUUAUAUAUAUACAAAUAUAACUUAUAAAACUUAAAAAUUAUUAUUAUUUUGACUUUCAUCACGUUCUCCAAUAUUGAUUUUCAAAUUUCAAUCUCGUUCAUAAGAACAACGUCAAUAUUGAUAAUGAAUACUGGUUUUCAAUCUCAUUCAUCAUGCUCUCCAUAUUGAUAUUGAUAUGAUGUUAUCGUGCAGUCGAAUAAAUUGUUAUAAAUAAUCGUGAGAGCAAUUGAUGUUACUGGUAAAUGAUGAAAAAAAAAGAAGUGAAUUGAUAAGGUGAUAUAAGUUUUAAAUUCAUGGGCAAUUUUGUCUUAUAAUUGGGUGUCCUGUUCUGUUCUCUUCCGUUCGACCAUUUUUUACAGAACUAAAAUGUUCUAUUCCAAAGCCUUAUGUCAUGUUUUGUUCCAUCUUAAAAACAUAACAAACACUGAAUUUAUUCUUAUAUGUCUACCAAACGCUGCCUAAGUCUUCUAACAUAUAUGGGCUAGCCCCACUUUUCAACCACUAUCUAUAUAUUGCGCUAAAAUCUCACUUAAAAAUGUUGAUUUUAUAAAAAUAAAAAAAUAAUUGGCACAUCAAAAAGAUAAAUUGCACCCUUAAGAGAUUGAUCCAUGGACCUUUUCAACCAACCCGCAUGUCACUUAGCUCUUACCACUUGACAUAUCGUUGGAGGAUUGAUUUUAUAAAAAUUAAACCAAUAAAUGUGUUAAAAAUAAUGUAUUGCCAACAUAUAAAAAAAUGUACCGUACACUAUAACAUAACCAAUUCUGCUUUUUGCGGUUAAUUUUUAUCUAUCAAUUAAUGAUUUAAUUUUUCUAAAAACGUAUAAAUAGAGUUUCAAAUAGGGCUUUUCUCAGCAACUUAGUGCAAAGCCCUCCAAAUUCCGCAGCUGUGGGCGGUGAUUUGUGAAUGGAAAGCAGAACAAAGAACUUGUAAGAUUCAGUUGAGUGAUUCUUGAAUUUGCAUUAUUCAUGAUGAUGGACGAUUUGCCGGACGCACUUCUUUGCCACAUACUUUCUUUUCUCCUAACCAAGAAAGCCGUUGCCACAAGCGUUCUCUCCAAGAGGUGGAUUCAUUCGUGGCGAUCACUCACCAUUCUCUACUUUGACGAUCAAGACUAUUUCAUCCUCAGAGGCGGCGAAGAUAAGGGCCAUGCUCACUUUGCUCAGUCCGUGAAUGCAGUCAUCCUCUCCUGAGAUGAUCACCAACCUAUCCACAAAUUUCGCCUCAAUUGUUUCAAUGCUAGUUCUAAAUAUCUUGAUAUUCUCAAUGUCAACGCAUGGCUUAAUGCGGCAGUGGAUCGCCAUGUUCAGACCUUAGAUAUCUCCCUCUGCUGUGAACGACGAACACCGUUAAUCUCGUAUGUCAUAUUCAAUUCUACCACUCUUGUGGUUCUCAAGCUGCAGCUGUUAAAUUUGGAACCUCCGGUUUCCUCUCUUGAUGUUGACCUUCCGUUGCUUAAAGUCCUGCAUCUGCAAAACGUGGUUUUCUCAAAACACGAUUGUCUCGCAAUGCUUCUUUCUGGAUGCCCUAUUCUUGAGGAUUUCAAAGCAAGGGAUUUAUGUUUUGGUACUCAUGUUACUGACAAGGAGUUUAAAACUUCACCUAAAUAAUUACAUUUUUUAAGAUGCGUUACAACCUUAAAAACAUAGAGUUAUUUUGAAACGGAGGAAGUACACAACUAAACAAUCAUACAGAAUCCACCUCUCUCCUAUCUCUUCUCCACCUCAAUCUACCAAACACAGUAUUAACCAUUAAGUUACUAUAGAUCCACACAAGCAACCUAAUUUGGUUAUAUACUAGGAGUAUGCUUUUUUUUUUUACCUAAAUUGGUUUUGCAAUAAAAAUAUUCCAAUAAAAAAGGAGAAUCUAAAUGGAAUAAAUUCGACGAAUCCAAUCCAAUAUAUAAAAAGAAAAGAAAAAUAGACAGUACCACUGUCACGGAAACCCAGCAGCCAACAAGGGUCAAACAAGCGUUGUCUGAUCGGGAACAAGUGGCUUUCCUUCCUUUUUCGAAAACCAAUCAGAGUUAGGUUGCUGAUCUGAGAUGGCGACGGCGACGGCGACGGUGGCAGCAGAGAAGAAGCCCAAGACGAAGAUCGUCUGCACGCUCGGACCCGCAUCGAGGUCUGUGCCCAUGGUCGAGAAGCUUCUCCGAGCAGGCAUGAACGUCGCUCGAUUCAACUUCUCUCAUGGCUCCCAUGAAUACCACCAGGAAACGCUUGACAACCUCAGGGCUGCUAUGGAAAACACUGGUAUUCUCUGC